rnacentral:misc_RNA from 1 species
GAUGAAGAACGUAGCGUAAUGCGAUACGUAAUGUGAAUUGCAGAAUUCAGUGAAUCAUCGAAUCUUUGAACGCACAUUGCGCCUGCCAGCACUCUGGCAGGCAUGCCUGUUCGAGCGUCAUUUCAACCAUCAAGCCCUAGGCUUGCGUUGGAGCCCUGCGGCUGCCGCAGGCCCCUAAAAGCAGUGGCGGGCUCGCUAUCACACCGAGUGCAGUAGAUUACUCUUCGCUCAGGGCGUGUGGCGGGUUCCAGCCGUGAAACCCCCUACUUCUCAAGGUUGACCUCGGAUCAGGUAGGAAUACCCGCUGAACUUAAGCAUAUCAAUAAGCGGAGGA